rnacentral:lncRNA from 1 species
CUGGGAGAGACUUGAGAACACACUGAAGCCUGCAGCUCCUGGUCUGUCAUCUUCAAACAGACUUUCAGCUUUCCAGUAUGUAAGACUGAGUGGACAUACGAAGUUCUCAAAGCUUCUCAUCCCCAGUGGUUUCCGACUUUGACUAUCAUCUUUAACUGUGGCCUGUCCUAACCCUGGAUCCCUCUUAUCUGCCACAGACGUGACUGCAAGAAACCUGCGUCCACAGACACGGCUCUCCCAAGUGAGUGGACAUCCCAGCGGGGAAGCACCACACAUGUGAUGGACAGCUCAACUUCCUCCUGGGUUUUAGGUGUCCUCCGCAUGUGGAGGUGUUGAGUGCAGGUUCCUGGCACCACGCGCAUGGCUGACCCAAUGUCGCCCAAACCACAAAAGUCACACAAGCAGGUUCUGCAGGGCGAUGGGUUCCCUCUCAUAGCAGCCGUGCACACGGGCCUUUCAUGAGAAACUCUUACAGGAAAUGCUGGCCCACCCCUGACUGAACCAUGAAAUCACAAAGUUACAGGAUGAAACAGAAGAAUCAACACACUGCCAUGCAGAGUCCAGAGACCCCGCAGUCUAGAAAACAGGGCGGAGCAAAGGGAAAGCCAGCAGCUGCCAGCAGCUUCUGAGGACGGCAGAAAGUGCUGCGUGAAAGGCCUCUGCACACCCCACGGAGUGGCCUGGGCAUCCUUAGACGCCGGAUCCUUUGCAAGUCAAAGAAAGCGUUCAGUCCUGAAUAAGAUUUUGGUUUUGAUGGCACUUAUUGAUCAUGUUGUACUUUUUGCCAUUUGGGACUUGGUAUCUCUGGGGAUCUCCGUCAUACUUUAAUCCAAUGCUAGACAAAGCUUUAUGCAGAAUCUUUUCAUUACAAAUACAGUUCUGCCGGACUAGAAAGCUGCACUGUUCUGGGUACCUGCCACCUGUUCAGCAUUGCUCUGGGCGUUGAGGACACAGCGUGACCACACCAGCCCUUGCCUGGCCUCCCGCAGGCCUGACAACACAGACAUGGGUUUGGUUAGGGGGAAAUCAGGGUCUUCUAUCGGUUACAUUUCUGUGCAGAAAAAAACUAUUUUUAGCUAAACAUCUACUCUACUACAAUAAUUUAAAAAUAAUUAUCGACUUAAAUCGUUAUUGAGUGUGAUAUUGUUUCUAAAUUUAUUUGGUCAUAUUAUACUGAUUAAACAAG